CGAAAGUCCCAGACAGCAGCCAUGAGCCAGACCGUGUUUACAUGGGAUGGCUCAUGGAUAUUGGACGGGCUGACCUGUAUAAGCAAGUAAGGCAUUUGCCUGGAUUGCGAAUAUAGGAGGGGAUGUCGAGAGUGCAAAGCACGAAGACAUCAACUUUUA
rnacentral:sRNA from 1 species